UACGGAGGGUGCAAGCGUUAUCCGGAUUCACUGGGUUUAAAGGGUGCGCAGGUGGCUUUGUAAGUCAGUGGUGAAAUCUUAGAGCUUAACUCUAAAACUGCCAUUGAUACUGCUUAGCUUGAAUCAAGUCGAGGUGGAUGGAAUAUUACAUGUAGCGGUGAAAUGCUUAGAUAUGUAAUAGAACACCGAUUGCGAAGGCAGUUCACUAGGCUUGUAUUGACACUGAGGCACGAAAGCGUGGGGAUCAAACAGG
rnacentral:rRNA from 1 species